rnacentral:rRNA from 1 species
UACGAAGGGUGCAAGCGUUACUCGGAAUUACUGGGCGUAAAGCGUGCGUAGGUGGUUUGUUAAGUCUGAUGUGAAAGCCCUGGGCUCAACCUGGGAAUUGCAUUGGAUACUGGCAGGCUAGAGUGCGGUAGAGGAUGGCGGAAUUCCCGGUGUAGCAGUGAAAUGCGUAGAGAUCGGGAGGAACACCGGUGGCGAAGGCGGCGACCUGGGACAAUACUGACGCUGAGGUGCGAAAGCGUGGGGAGCAAACAGG